rnacentral:SRP_RNA from 1 species
AGAUAUGGUGGCGCACAUCUAUAACCCCCAUUACUAGGAAAGCUAAGGUUGGUGAAUCUCGUGCGCUUAGGAAUGUUGAGCAGCAAUGGGCUAUGCUCAUUAGGUGUCUGCACUAAGUUUGGCAUCAAUAUGCAAGUCCAUCAGAAAUGGUGAGGGGCUACCAGUUUGCCUAAAGAAGGGACAAACUGACCCAGGUCUGAAAUGGAGCAGGUCAAAGUUUCUGACAAUCAGUAGUGGAAAUGGGCCCAUGAGUAGACCCUGAACUUCCAGGGUGAGGUAGAGAGAUACAGUUUUUA